rnacentral:rRNA from 1 species
AGCUCAGGCUGAAAAUCCCUCGGGAGUUGUAGUCUGUAGGCCCAGUGCUGCAGUUGACGCGGGUGCAAGUUCUCACGAACGAGACGCCAGGGAGGGUGAUAGCCCCGUCCCGCCCGCGAACGCGUUACAGUACGGUGCCGAAGAGUCGGGAUGCUUGGGAAUGCAUCCCUAAGUGGGUGGUAAGUCCCAUCUAAAGCUAAAUACGGGCAAGAGACCGAUAGCGAACAAGUACUGUGAAGGAAAGAUGAAAAGCACUUUGAAAAGAAGGUUAAAAGAGCUUGAAAUUGCUGAAAUGGAAGUGAUUGGCCCCAGUACGGCCUCUGAGUUGCGUGCAACGAAGUUGGCCGGUCAGCAUCGGCUGCUGCUGCGUGAGAGCGCCCUUGGGAAGGUGGCGUGGCCCUGCUUCGGCGGGUAGUCGCGUGUUAUAGCCCAGGGAGCGCGGCGCGGCGGCGGCCGAGGGAAGCGACGUACCUACAGCUAUAGGUGAUCCGGUAAGCCUUCCGCGAGCUUGCUCGCUACGGCCCCGGUGAGCCAAACAGCUGCGUGCGUCGAAGAUGCUGACGAAAUGGGUUCAAUCAGCCCGUCUUGAAACACGGACCAAGGAGUCUGACAUGUGUGCAAGUACUCCGGUGUAAAACCGCUGUGCGUAAUGAAAGUACAGGUUCGCCUUCGGGCGGCCGAGAUGGGACCUUCGGGGCACCAUCGACCGGUCUGUGGGCCACGGUUCACGGGCUGCGUCUGAGCAGAUAUGUUGGGACCCGAAAGAUGGUGAACUAUGCCUGGGUAGGGCGAAGCCAGGGGAAACCCUGGUGGAGGCUCGAAGCGAUUCUGACGUGCAAAUCGAUCGUCAAACCUGGGUAUAGGGGCGAAAGACUAAUCGAACCAUCUAGUAGCUGGUUCCCUCCGAAAUUUCCCUUAGGAUAGCUGCAACUGUAUCCAGUUUUAUCAGGUAAAGCGAAUGAUUAGAGGAUUCAGGGCCGGAAUGGCCUUGACCUAUUCUCAAACUUUAAAUGGGUAAGAAGGGAGGCCUUGCUUAUAUGAAGGCCUCUCGCGAAUGGAAGUUGUUAGUGGGCCACAGCAGGUAAGCUGCUGCGGCGAUGCGGGAUGAACCGAACGUGGUGUUAAAGCGCCGGACUGUCCGCUCAUCAGAUCCCACAAAAGGUGUUGGUUCAUAUAGACAGCAGGACGGUGGC